ensembl:misc_RNA Metazoa_SRP Metazoan signal recognition particle RNA
GCUGGGCGUGGUGACGCAUGCCUGUAAUCCCAGCUACUGGGGAGGCUGAGGCAGGAGAAUUGCUUGAACCCAGGAGACGGAGGUUGCAGUGAGUCAAGAUUGCACCACUGCACUCCAGCCUGGGUGACAGAGUGAAACUCUGUCUCGG